rnacentral:rRNA from 1 species
GAAACCGUGUACGUACAAGCAGUGGGAGCACCCUUCGGGGUGUGACUGCGUACCUUUUGUAUAAUGGGUCAGCGACUUAUAUUCUGUAGCAAGGUUAACCGUAUAGGGGAGCCGGAGGGAAACCGAGUCUUAACCGGGCGUUAAGUUGCAGGGUAUAGACCCGAAACCCGGUGAUCUAGCCAUGGGCAGGUUGAAGGUUGGGUAACACUAACUGGAGGACCGAACCGACUAAUGUUGAAAAAUUAGCGGAUGACCUGUGGCUGGGGGUGAAAGGCCAAUCAAACCGGGAGAUAGCUGGUUCUCCCCGAAAGCUAUUUAGGUAGCGCCUCGUGAAUUCAUCUCCGGGGGUAGAGCACUGUUUCGGCUAGGGGGCCAUCCCGGCUUACCAACCCGAUGCAAACUGCGAAUACCGGAGAAUGUUAUCACGGGAGACACACGGCGGGUGCUAACGUCCGUCGUGAAGAGGGAAACAACCCAGACCGCCAGCUAAGGUCCCAAAGUCAUGGUUAAGUGGGAAACGAUGUGGGAAGGCCCAGACAGCCAGGAUGUUGGCUUAGAAGCAGCCAUCAUUUAAAGAAAGCGUAAUAGCUCACUGGUCGAGUCGGCCUGCGCGGAAGAUGUAACGGGGCUAAACCAU